UUGAAAAGAGAGUUAAAUAGCACGUGAAAUUGUUGAAAGGGAAGCGCUUGCGACCAGACUCGCCCGCGGGGUUCAGCCGGCAUUCGUGCCGGUGUACUUCCCCGUGGGCGGGCCAGCGUCGGUUUGGGCGGCCGGUCAAAGGCCCCCGGAAUGUAGUGCCCUUCGGGGCACCUUAUAGCCGGGGGUGCAAUGCGGCCAGCCUGGACCGAGGAACGCGCUUCGGCACGGACGCUGGCAUAAUGGUUGCAAACGACCCGUCUUGAAACACGGACCAAGACUC
rnacentral:rRNA from 1 species